rnacentral:tRNA from 1 species
UGGAGAGGUGGCCGAGAGGUUUAUGGCGUUCCUUUGCUAAAGGAAAAUAGAUCAAGUAUCUAUCGAGGGUUCAAAUCCCUCUCUCUCCAU